AAAAGGGAUGUAAAGGUUUGAAGAAAUAAACUACUAUUAAUUUAAAUGUAACUAAAUGUGAAACCCCUGAUAUUUAGCAUAUCAGAUUUUGUAAUAUAUUUUGCAUAAAUUAUUUGUUAAUCAAAAUUUUGUCAUUCUAAGCCCAAAUUAAGCUUUAUUUUUUUCCAAUAUCUAACUUCCUUACAUUGUAUUGUUUUGAGCAUUCUUAAUCCCCUAUGCUGAGAUUUGGCUUUGCACAAAAUUUAUAGAGGGCUACAAAUCUCUUAUUUGUGGGACUGAAAUCAAAUGCAAAAUUUUAUUUAUUAUGUAAAUCAAAAUGUCAUCUGCCAAGUUGUUCAUUAGAAGUUGUCCUUGCAAAGAUCCAAAAGAAAGAAUUAGUUUGUGUAAAUAAGCACUUCAAGUCUAUUUUCAGACAGUUUCAAAUUGAUAAAUGACUUAGAAAUUUUAAGGUCCCAAGGAGCCUUACAAAUGUAUGCUUUUAUUUCCUGAAACAAACCAUUUUCUUAAACAUUUAAUUUCACCUAAAGUAAGCAACUAUAAAUAAAUCAAUUUGGGAUGACAGCUCUGAGCAUCCAAGUUCCUAAGCUACAGUUAAAGGCAAAUAACUAAAAUUUUAAGACUUCUCAUAUUUGAAAUUAAAAGGGUCUUUAAAAAGAAAAGAAAAAAAAGAUGUUGGGUUAUUUGCUUCAUGUUUAUUGUGCCAUGGAAGAGGGAGGGGGGAAUGGUAAACACCUGCUAGAAUAGAUGGUGUCUGGAAUCUUUAUCCCUUUGCAAUUGUGUUAGUUUGUGUCUAAAAUUUUAAUUCUAAACUAUCUUUUUCACCAUUUGAUAAUUUCCCAUUUCCUCCAAGUACCUGCCCUUCCCAUUGAUGUCUCCAUUCCUAUCUAUUGCUCAAUCAUUUAAAUAACUAAAAUCUGUUUACC
rnacentral:lncRNA from 1 species